rnacentral:rRNA from 1 species
GAUGAACGCUAGCGGAAGGCAUAAUACAUGCAAGUCGAACGGAUGUAGCAAUACAUUAGUGGCGCACGGGUGCGUAACGCGUAUGCAACCUACCUUCAUCAGGGGGAUAACUACCCGAAAGGGAGGCUAACACCGCAUAAUACUAUUGAGUGGCAUCACUUGAUAUUUAAAUCUGAGGAGGAUGAAGAUGGGCAUGCGUCUGAUUAGCGAGUUGGUGUGGUAACGGCGCACCAAGGCGACGAUCAGUAGGGGAACUGAGAGGUUGGUCCCCCACACUGGCACUGAGAUACGGGCCAGACUCCUACGGGAGGCAGCAGUAGGGAAUAUUGGUCAAUGGUGGGAACACUGAACCAGCCAUUCCGCGUGCAGGAAGAAGGGUCUCUGACUUGUAAACUGCUUUAGCAAGGGAAGAAAAAGCUCAUGUGUGAGAAAUUGACGGUACCUUGAGAAUAAGCACCGGCUAACUACGUGCCAGCCGCCGCCGUAACAC